CACAUUUUAGAAUUUCUGUCGCAUUAUCUGCUAAUGACCCGAGGCAGGACACGCCCACACGCCAAUCACACGGAAAUCAGUCCGGCUAAUUUACAUACUAGGCCACGCCCCCGGACAAGGAAACUCUUCAGAAUGUUCUGGAAAGUGGGAGGAGUUUACAUUUACCUUAGAAGAAGACUGUGUGGCCCUGACGACGAACGGGAGCAUUUUGAAGAGAGAAUCCAGGGGGACACACUGGAUGCUACAUUGAAGAAGUGGCCGGCAGCCACCCGAGGGCAGACAGGCACAUCUAUCAAUUCAAAGCUCACGAAGCUGAGAAGGUCCUCAAAAUAUAUAUAUGUUUUCUUCCUGUUGAGUUUUUUUGUCUUAUUUUUGUUCUUUUACUAUUUGAUUGUUCUUAAAAAAAUAAAAAAAUAAAA